AUUGAACGCUGGCGGCAGGCUUAACACAUGCAAGUCGAGCGAGCGGCGGACGGGUGAGUAAUGUCUGGGAAACUGCCUGAUGGAGGGGGAUAACUACUGGAAACGGUAGCUAAUACCGCAUACCAUCAGAUGUGUCCAGUUGGGAUUAGCUAGUAGGUGGGGUAAUGGCUCACCUAGGCGACGAUACCUAGCUGGUCUGAGUGGAUGACCAGCCACACUGGAAAGGAGACACGGACCAGACUCCUACGGGAGGCAGCAGUGAGGAAUAUUGCGCAAUGGGCGCAAGCCUGAUGCGGCCAUGCCGCGUGUGUGAAGAGGGCCUUCGGGUUGUAAAGCACUAUAAGCGAGGGGGCGUUACUCGCAGAAGAAGCACCGGCUAACUCCGUGCCAGCAGCCGCGGUAAUAC
rnacentral:rRNA from 1 species